UCCGUAGGGUGCAAGCGUUGUCCGGAAUUAUUGGGCGUAAAGAGCUCGUAGGCGGUUUGUCGCGUCUGCUGUGAAAACUCAGGGCUUAACUCUGAGCUUGCAGUGGGUACGGGCAGACUAGAGUGCGGUAGGGGAGACUGGAAUUCCUGGUGUAGCGGUGAAAUGCGCAGAUAUCAGGAGGAACACCGGUGGCGAAGGCGGGUCUCUGGGCCGUAACUGACGCUGAGGAGCGAAAGCAUGGGGAGCGAACAGG
rnacentral:rRNA from 1 species